rnacentral:rRNA from 1 species
GAUGAACGCUGGCGGCGGGCCUAAUACAUGCAAGUCGAGCGAACGGACGAUAAGCUUGCUCUUCUGAGGUUAGCGACGGACGGGUGAGUAACACGUGGAUAACCUACCUAUAAGACUGGGAUAACUUCGGGAAACCGGAGCUAAUACCGGAUAAUAUUUUGAACCGCAUGGUUCAAAAGUGAAAGACGGUCUUGCUGUCACAUAUAGAUGGAUCCGCGCUGCAUUAGCUAGUUGGUAAGGUAACGGCUUACCAAGGCAACGAUGCAUAGCCGACCUGAGAGGAUGAUCGGCCACACUGGAACUGAGACACGGUCCAGACUCCUACGGGAGGCAGCAGUAGGGAAUAUUCCGCAAUGGGCGCAAGCCUGACCGAGCAACGCCGCGUGAGUGAUGAAGGCCUUCGGAUCGUAAAACUCUGUUAUUAGGGAAGAAAAUAUGUGUAAGUAUAUGUCGCCGUCCUGACGGUACCUAAUCAGAAAGCAACGGCUAACUACGUG